UUUAGCGGCGUACAUUUAAAGACACACUAACUAUCUCAACAUUUCUCAAUAUGCUUAAGCUAUCUCAACGUAGCAAAAUCAUAGAAGGUAUCCCCAUUUCAUUACCAAGAUUUUUUUUUAGAAAGAUAUCCUCUCUACCUUUGUUAUUUUGUAUGUACAUCAACAACAAACAGGAUCAAACAAAAUUAUCAAAAUGUACAUGGUCAGCAAAUCAUUCCAUUUAUUACUUUUUCCAUCGAUGGAAUUUCAUUCAAAAGUUACAUCACCGUAGAAAUAUUUCCCUUUGCCCCUGCCAUAGAAAACUUACGCCGAAGUAUCGAUCAUAAAGGUAUGUAUGAGCGUUGUGGUAGGCAGAGGUCUGAACAGCAGCUUGUGGAAGAUCUCGUGACGCCGGCGAGAGUGACUACAAAUAUUGACAAAAAACACAUCACCUAGCAUUUCACCGAACAAAAGAGCAUGUACAUUGUACUUGAUUAAGAAAAUAAAUAAUUGUGUAAAGGUAUCCCUUGGAAUGAGUCCUUUGUCAGUGAAGAAUCUUGGACAUAUCAGAACAUUGAGGGAACAAGCAUUACUUACUUGCUCUAAUGUUUCCUCGUCUGUACUGUCCUGGCAAACAAUGCAUUGAUCACUCCAGCUCAAAUCCUAGAAAAAUAUAAAGAGAGAAACUAAAUUCAACAGUGUACAGGAGCAGAGAAU
rnacentral:lncRNA from 1 species